AUGCAUUUGUUGCAUGUGGAAAUGGUGGCCCUUGUUAGAGAGCUCCUGAGCAAAUUUAUGAGACCAAAGGCUAUUCCACUGAGUCACAAGGAGAUUCUCAAGGUUGAUGUACGGAGCAGGGAUUUGCAACUGUCAAACCAGAGGCUCUCUGUUGGACAAUUCUGCUACAAUGCAAUGAACAAAGCUCGUGUGGAGAGGAAGGUAUGGGUUGGACAUAUCUAUGACUCUCUCAGAGAAGGGUAUAUGAGGUCAGCAGAGUUUCUGCUAAAAAACCUUCCCCUGGAUAACAUCAUAUUAACAUCACUCUCUGCUCUGACGCCGUCUCUAAUUCAAUCCGAUGCAGUUGUUGGAGCAUUCACUACAUUAGGAGAGGCCUUGCCAAAUGUUGUCCCUCCAGAAGAGAUCGGUCAACUGGUUGAAGAAUGCCGGGCCUACCAGAUGGAUGCGGACAUGCUUCUUCGUGUACCAAACUACAUCGAAGGGGACUGUCGAGUUGAUGUAGACUGGUGGAGCCAUGUUGCUUCUUUGAAAAAUGCAGAGAGAGGUGUGAAGUAUCCCACCCUGUGCAAACUUGUUAAAGCGCUUCUGUCCAUUUUUACAGGCCCCUUGGUGGAAGGAUCAUUCAAUUUAAUGGAUGAUAUCCUAGAGUCUGACAGGUGCUCCAUGAAUGUGGAAACAUACGAGAGCCUCGCAGUGAUCAAGUCCACACUUAAGGCCAGGAACUGGACAGCCUCAACUAUGAACAUUGACCAGCCUUUAAGGCGAUCCUGCCUUUCCUCAUUCCAAAACUACCAAUUACAUUUAAAGAAAAAGAAAGAGACUGCACAGGCACUAAAGAAGAAAAGGCUUAGUGAGGCAGCAAGGAUUCUGUCCUCAAAGGAGGCAAACAAAUUGUCUCAACAGGCCCGAAAAACCAAAAGGCCAGCAAUAUCCUCCUCUGCACAAACCUCCACCUCCUCUGCACAAGCCUCUACCACCUCUGCUCAACAGGCCCUCCUGAAAAAGAGAAGACUACCCCAACCCUCCUCUGCGCAAGCCUCCACUUCCUCUGCACAAGCCUCCAUUUCCUCUGCUCAACAGUCCCUCCUGAAAAUGAGAAGACCACCACAACCCUCCUCUACACAAGCCUCCACCACCUCUGCUCAACAGGCCCUGGAAAAAAGAAUACCACCCCAAUCCUCCUCUGUACAAGCCUCCACUUCCUCUGCACAAGCCUCCACCACCUCUGCUCAAAAGGCCCUUGAAAAAAGAAGACCACCCCAACCCUCCUCUGCACAAGUCUCCACAUCAUCUGCACCAUCACAGUUUUUUCCUCUCUUUUAUCAAUCCAAAGCAUCAUCAACCAUGUUAAAAAGGAAAGGUUCCGAGGACCAAAAACAAUGUUCAUCAAAAAGGAAGAAAUGAAGGGAGGGAGACAUGUUUUCCACACUGUCUUUUACAGUUAUUUAUUUUGGUUUUUCAGUUGUUUUUCAGUGGUCACCAUUUGCAUGUUUUGAAAAAAAAAAACUACGUUCAGAAAGGAAGAAAUUAUGGGAAGGAGAAAUGUUUUUGUUAAUCCCAUACCGUCUUUUACAGUAUAUUCAUUUUUUAUAGUUUUUCAGUUGAAUGGUGCAUAUUUUGCAAUUAAAUUUGUUAAAGAAAAAUGAAUGUGUGUCCUUUUCAUGUCUUUUAGGUAAUCAAUUCCUGUGUACUUUGGAGUACUAUUAUUGCCACUUACUGACCUGUCUUGGUAUGACUGUAGCAUCUGCAGCAUUUACUUCCAGUGAUUGUACUAAGAUGGGCUAAUAAGGUCAAUGUAGGCACUGAACAUAUUGAGAAGAAAAUGCUGUGUUUUCUUGAAUAAUACUGAGGGCAUAAUGCAAAUAUGAAAAUAUCUAAAAAAGAGCCACUUGUCAAUAAUGAUGAUCAGGGUUAUACAUACUUAGGCUGUUUAUAUAUUUGGGCCCAGGGGCCAACAAGUUGUGUUAAAAGUGCGUCACAUACAUAGUACCCUCUCGGGGGGCAAGGAAAAAAGUUCAGGCUCAGGAAUUUUUUUCACUAUCAGCCCUGAAUAACAUGUCUGUGGGAUCUUUUGAUUACUAUCAGUUUAAGUUCUGUAAGUGUUGCCAGAUAUAGCUAUGAAAACAAAUAAAAACAAAUAAAUAUAUCUUUCCA
ensembl:lncRNA